AUUGAACGCUGGCGGCAUGCUUUACACAUGCAAGUCGAACGGCAGCGCGGGCUUCGGCCUGGCGGCGAGUGGCGAACGGGUGAGUAAUACAUCGGAACGUGCCCAGUAGUGGGGGAUAGCUCGGCGAAAGCCGGAUUAAUACCGCAUACGACCUGAGGGUGAAAGCGGGGGAUCUUCGGACCUCGCGCUAUUGGCGCGGCCGAUGGCAGAUUAGCUAGUUGGUGGGGUAAAGGCCUACCAAGGCGACGAUCUGUAGCUGGUCUGAGAGGACGACCAGCCACACUGGGACUGAGACACGGCCCAGACUCCUACGGGAGGCAGCAGUGGGGAAUUUUGGACAAUGGGCGAAAGCCUGAUCCAGCAAUGCCGCGUGUGUGAUGAAGGCCUUCGGGUUGUAAAGCACUUUUGGCGGGAACGAAAAGGACUGUGCCAAUACCACGGUUCGAUGACGGCACCCGCAGAAUAAGCACCGGCUAACUACGUG
rnacentral:rRNA from 1 species